CGCCGGGCCAAUGUCCUAUCUCAGGGUUUCCCACGUCGCUCGCUCCUUGACGGCUGACCGACACUGGGUCUGAUGUGUAAGCGCUUUCCAGGCCCUUCCCUGGGGCUUGGAGGGGAAUGGCGCAAAGGACUUUUCUUACAAGCAGAGCCACUGCAGUUACCAAAGAGUAUGUCGCUUAUUGUCUAAGAGGUUGGACUCCUGAAAGCCUGGACAGUGUCAUCAUCUUCACCUGAAGAGUGGAAAAAUUCAAGCAAAGAGUUUCUCAGGAAAUGACCAAGUAAAACAUCUGGAGUAAGUCAGCAGGAUUCAAAGUGACUCCCCCCAACCACCUGGUGGUGUUUCUCUCUGAAAGCAGCGCUUGGUACCAGUGUGAACUCUCUUCCUUCAGAAGUCUCAUCAGGUGGACGUAAUACGAGGGUCUGGUCCCCCAUACCUUGAGGACUCCGCUGCCCUCUGACAAUUACAGACAAUCCAAUUGUCCUCAUCCUUGAGGACUCUGCUGCCAUCUGACAAUUAGAGACAGUCCAAAACAUGCCACACUUUGAUCCUAAACACAUUCCUGGCUUUGGUCACUUUUGAAAAGUUCCUGAGUUAUGAGAAAUCAAUAAUAAGAGUGUUCAAAACCUGAACACUCUUUUUAGAAAUACCUGCUGGAACUACAUAUAUGAUUUAUGGGGUACUGUCUUGUAGUAUCUGGGAAAGUAGACCCAUCUAACCUGGAAUGAUCAUAGGCAACAAUGACCAAAAAUGGGGAUCUUUUGAUAUACCUAAAGUAAUUUAUUUGUGCACACCAUUGGAAAGAGCUGGUUUUAGAACCAGACAUGUAAAUAAGAGACUUACUUCCACUGGCACCUAAAAACUUCUAAAAGAAAUCCUGAAAGAAAAAGUCACCUUCAUUCAAGAGGAAAUUCAUAGAAUAGGAUCCUGACAAGUACUCUUGAAUACACGUUUCUGAUAACUUCGGAUAUCAUAUCAUUGGACUAAGUAACAACUUUCAGGUAUGUAAUAAACUGAUGUGUUCCUUAGAUUGCUAACUCAACAUCAAGCAGAACACGA
rnacentral:lncRNA from 1 species